rnacentral:lncRNA from 1 species
UUAGCAUUCCUUUUAAUCUUCUGUUUAUGCGUUGUUCCUGAUUCAAAUCAAAUCUCGAGACUCAAUUUUCUCGGAAAUUAAUGAUUUAUUUCUUUUUCUUUUUUAAGGAAGAAGAUAUGGGAAGUGAGUCUUACGAGGAGGCGAUUGCAGCUUUGUCGAAGCUUCUCAGGUAAUGUUACGGUCCGUCCUUUGUUUAAACGAUUCUUAUUUCUGGUCUCGAACCGGAAGAAAAAACAAAACCGAAGAUUUCAUUUUCUGGCACCUAUACUGAUCAGAACAUUAAAAUCUGUAAUGAUGGCUUACCGUCGUCGGUUGCAGUGAGAAAGCUGAUCUCGUAAGUGUUGCCGCUGAAAAAAUCAAGCAAAUAACAGCCGAGUUAGAGGCAGCUGGCAGUUGCGACGCCGACAACCGGAUCAAAACCGGUUUCCUUCAUUUCAAGUC